GUUGAUCCUGCGGGAGGUUGCUGCUAUUAGGAUUCGGAUUAGUCAUGCAAGUCAGGGGUCUUCGGACACCGGCGAAAGGCUCAGUAACACGUUGAUAAUCUGCCCUUAAGCCUGGGAUAACCUUGGGAAACUGAGGCUAAUACCAGAUAUGAGAUUGAUGCUGGAAUGCACUUUCUCUGAAACGUAAGGUUUAAGGAUGAGUCAGCGGCUGAUUAGGUUGUUGGUGAGGUAAUGGCUCACCAAGCCAAUGAUCAGUAGGGGUCUUGAGAGAGAUAGCCCCGAGAAGGGCACUGAGAUACUGGCCCUAGUCCUAAGGGAUGCAGCAGAUAGGAAUACUUUACAAUGCACGAAAGUGUGAUAAGGGGAUCCUAAGUGCUUUACCUUUGGUAAGGCUUUUGUUGAGUGUAAGAAGCUUGACGAAUAAGUGAUGGGUAAGACUGGUGCCAGCCGCCGCGGUAACACCAGCGUCACAAGUGGCAACCACAUUUAUUGGGCCUAAAGUAUCCGUAGCCGGUUUAAUAAAUUUCUUGUGAAAUUGUUAGGCUUAACCUAACAGCAAGCAAGAAAGACUGUUAAACUUGGGACCGGGAGGAGGCAGAUGUAUUUCAGGGGGAGCGGUAAAAUGUUAUAAUCCCUGGAGGACAACCCGUGGCGAAGGCUUCUGCCCAGAACGGGUCCGACGGUGAGGGAUGAAGGCUAAGGUAUCGAUCGGGAUUAGAUACCCCAGUAGUCUUAGCUGUAAACUCUGCGAGCUGGAUGGUGCAUGUUCUUCGAGGACAUGCGGUGUCUAAGUGAAGAUGUUAAGCUCGCCGCCUGGGAAGUACGGUCGCAAGGCUGAAACUUAAAGGAAUUGGCGGGGGCUCGCUACAAGGAGUGCGGCGUGCGGUUCAAUUGGAUUACACACCGGAAAUUUUACCGGGAGCGACGGCAGGAUGAAGGUCAGGCUAAAGGUCUUACCUGACAAGCCGAGAUAUGGUGCAUGGCCGCCGUCAUUUCGUGCUGUGAAGUGUCCUGUUAAGUCAGGCAACGAACAAGACCCACGUUUAUAUUUGCUAACAUCUCUAUCAGAGGAAUGAGCACAAUAUAGAGACUGCCUGGGAAACUAGGAGGAGGGAGUGGGCUACGGUAGGUCUGUAUGCCUCGAAUCCCCCGGGCUACACGCGCGCAACAAUGGUAGGGACAAUGGGAUACAACUCCGAAAGGAGAAGUUAAGCCUCGAAACCCUAUCUUAGUUCGGAUUGAGGGUUGUAACUCACCCUCAUGACGCCGGAAUUCCAAGUAAUCGGAUUUCAUUAUGGUCCGGUGAACACGUCAACGAGCCUUGCACACACUGCCCGUCAUCCCAGCCGAGCAGGGUUUAGAUGAGGAUUAGCUUUAACUAAUACGAAUCUAAGCUCAGCAAGGAGGGGCAAGUCGUCACAAGGUA
rnacentral:rRNA from 1 species